rnacentral:misc_RNA from 1 species
GUUCAACAUCAAGGGCUGUUCAUUGCUACUACCCAAAGGAAUUAGGACUUACAGAGCUGCUUCCUUAAAAAUUAUGACAUAAUACAUAAAUUUGGCCUAACUGUAUUUCUUGAUCAUAGAAGGUGGUAGAGAGCAACUCUCUUGAAAGAGUAUAAUGAUGUAAUUUUACUGGUCUUGAGAAGGUGUCAGUGGAAUUGUUUACUUUUUUGGCCUUGUUUGAUUCCUGUGAUCUUGUCAAUGUUACUGCCUUCUAUAUGUUAGUAACUUGA